UGAAGAAGAGAAAGUAGCCACUGUGCAGA
rnacentral:piRNA from 1 species